rnacentral:lncRNA from 1 species
AACAUGUUCCUAAAAAGGUGACCACUUGUUCGGGAAAGAGAAGUAACUUCACCAGGGAUCUUCGAAGGAUGCGGGUCAAUUAAUCUUAUAAAAAACCAGAAUUCUCAACUAAAAAGAAAAUCAUAGUAAGGAUCUUCAACAGACUUCCACCGUGAUUUACUGGGGAAAGUACCAUUGGUUGUGAUUAACACCUCAUGGUGAUAUAAGUUCU